GGCGAGCGGCGGACGGGUUAGUAACGCGUGGGAACAUACCCUUUUCUACGGAAUAGCCUCGGGAAACUGAGAGUAAUACCGUAUACGCCCUUCGGGGGAAAGAUUUAUCGGAGAAGGAUUGGCCCGCGUAAGAUUAGAUAGUUGGUGGGGUAAUGGCCUACCAAGUCUACGAUCUUUAGCUGGUUUUAGAGGAUGAUCAGCAACACUGGGACUGAGACACGGCCCAGACUCCUACGGGAGGCAGCAGUGGGGAAUCUUAGACAAUGGGCGCAAGCCUGAUCUAGCCAUGCCGCGUGUGUGAUGAAGGCCUUAGGGUCGUAAAGCACUUUCGCUAGGGAUGAUAAUGACAGUACCUAGUAAAGAAACCCCGGCUAACUCCGUGCCAGCAGCCGCGGUAAUACGGAGGGGGUUAGCGUUGUUCGGAAUUACUGGGCGUAAAGCGUACGUAGGCGGAUCAGAAAGUAGGGGGUGAAAUCCCGAGGCUCAACCUCGGAACUGCCUCCUAAACUCCUGGUCUUGAGUUCGAGAGAGGUGAGUGGAAUUCCAAGUGUAGAGGUGAAAUUCGUAGAUAUUUGGAGGAACACCAGUGGCGAAGGCGGCUCACUGGCUCGAUACUGACGCUGAGGUACGAAAGUGUGGGGAGCAAACAG
rnacentral:rRNA from 1 species